UACGUAGGGGGCAAGCGUUAUCCGGAUUUACUGGGUGUAAAGGGUGCGUAGCCGGAAAUGCAAGUCAGAUGUGAAAGCCCGAAGCUCAACUUCGGGACUGCAUUUGAAACUGUAUUUCUAGAGUGCAGGAGAGGAAAGUGGAAUUCCUAGUGUAGCGGUGAAAUGCGUAGAUAUUAGGAGGAACACCAGUGGCGAAGGCGACUUUCUGGAUUGUAACUGACGGUGAGGCGCGAAAGCGUGGGGAGCAAACAGG
rnacentral:rRNA from 1 species